rnacentral:tRNA from 1 species
GAGGGUAUAGCUCAGUGGUAGAGUGUGUGCUUAGCAUGCACAAGGUCCUGGGUUCAAUCCUCUGUACCUCCA